rnacentral:rRNA from 1 species
GAUGAACGCUGGCGGCGUGCCUAAUACAUGCAAGUCGAGCGAACGGACGAGAAGCUUGCUUCUCUGAUGUUAGCGGCGGACGGGUGAGUAACACGUGGAUAACCUACCUAUAAGACUGGGAUAACUUCGUGAAACCGGAGCUAAUACCGGAUAAUAUUUUGAACCGCAUGGUUCAAAAGUGAAAGACGGUCUUGCUGUCACUUAUAGAUGGAUCCGCGCUGCAUUAGCUAGUUGGUAAGGUAACGGCUUACCAAGGCAACGAUGCAUAGCCGACCUGAGAGGGUGAUCGGCCACACUGGAACUGAGACACGGUCCAGACUCCUACGGGAGGCAGCAGUAGGGAAUCUUCCGCAAUGGGCGAAAGCCUGACGCAGCAACGCCGCGUGAGUGAUGAAGGUCUUCGGAUCGUAAAACUCUGUUAUUAGGGAAGAACAUAUGUGUAAGUAACUGUGCAUAUCUUGACGGUACCUAAUCAGAAAGCCACGGCUAACUACGUG